rnacentral:rRNA from 1 species
AGAUGGCGACCGGCGCACGGGUGAGUAACACGUAUCCAACCUGCCGAUAACUCGGGGAUAGCCUUUCGAAAGAAAGAUUAAUACCCGAUGGUAUAAUCAGACCGCACGGUUUGAUUAUUAAAGAAUUUCGGUUAUCGAUGGGGAUGCGUUCCAUUAGGCAGUUGGUGAGGUAACGGCUCACCAAACCUUCGAUGGAUAGGGGUUCUGAGAGGAAGGUCCCCCACAUUGGAACUGAGACACGGUCCAA